UGCCUUUUAGAAGAUAAGAAGUAUAAAAUCUUGUACAUAUUAUUAAAUUACAUAACCUCGUGUUUGACUGAGCAGUUGGCUGCAAAAAUAUGUGGUGUCAUCUCUGUGGGAUGGGGUGAAUCUAUGGCUGUUUUCAUAACUUAGUUGAUCUUUGUCAUGAUUGAAGCUUUUAUAAUUAUUCAUCAUCAGCAAAUUUAUAACGUCUAUAUAAAGAGAGCAAAAUUAUUGAUUUUUAAAGGGUCCAUUUACAUUUAAUAAAUUUAAUUAGAUUAGUUACACGUAACAAGUAGUUUUAUUUUGGAUUAGUUGUUUAUGGUUGAGGUAGUAAAUGUUUUUUCUUUUUUUUUUUUAUUUUUUCUGAUGUUUAAAGCCAUGAUGCUUCAAAGAUUUAAAAUGAAAAACUCUAAAUUAUGACAAAUCAAGUUACCAUCGCUUAAUUCAAGACUUAUAAGAUGAGAACUAUAUUUGGGAAGCAUGGGAGAAUAAGGAAACAAGUCACACUCUCUUCAAUACAUGUGGACGCACAACGCAAUUUCAGAUCGUAUAAUGCAUAUAUGACAAAAUUGCAUUUAGACCAAUUUUAUUAUGUUAGUCUUUUAGUAUGUUGUGGGAUUUGUUUUAAAUUAAUUUGGCCUAUAUUAAAAGCCAAAUUCGUGUAGCCCAUUUAGGAAGGAGAUUUCUCCAAGAUAAUUUAGGAAAAUGAUCUUUAAUGUAAUCCAGGUUUGACUAUUUGACUAGAUACCCUUCCUAUAUUGUAAUUACACCUUCCUACAAUAGAAUUAGGGUUUAAAGACUAUAAAAAACACUCUUAAGGUGGCAGCCAAGGAAAAAAGAUGGCUUUAUGAAUAAUAUUUGAUUCUUCUCCAUUAUUUAGCAACUUAUCGAGGUUUAACCUUGUGGCAUUCUGAUAUGGAUCUCCUCCAUGCUUAGUUAACUUAUUAAGAAUUUCUUGUGGCAUUCUUGAAGCUGUAAUCGCUUGAUUAUCUAUGUUUCUAAUCACAUUGGUUGGUUAGGGGUAUAGUAGAGCAACCUUCACUUAAUUAUUUAUGUUUCUAAUCACAUUGGUUGGUUAGGGGUGUAAUAGAGCAACUUUUUGGAAGAUAUUUUUGUUUUGUUCUUUGUCAAGUUGUGUGACGGAGUUUUUGAUCACAUAUUGAUCAUGGGUUCCGAAUCAGUUGGUAUCAGAGCAUGGUGAUAGAUAAAUUCCUAUUUAUCUAUAUUUAUUUAUUUCGUAAGUUUUUUUUAAUUUUUUUACUCUAUCUUACUUUUUUAUUUCAGUUUAUAGUUUCUCUAAAAAAAAAAAAGAAAAAAAAAUAGUUAUAUUUAUAUAAAAAAAGAAGAAAAAUUUUUUUAUUUUAGUAGUGUGAGUUUUUUUUUUAAAAAGUGUGAUAAAAAAAAAGAGUGAAAAAAAAAUCAUUUCAGUUGUUUGAUUUGAAAAAAAGAAAAAGAAAAAAAAGGGAGAGAUAUCAAAGUUUAGUAUUUUA
rnacentral:lncRNA from 1 species